rnacentral:rRNA from 1 species
UAAGCCCGGGAAACUGGGUCUAAUACUGGAUGCUACAUGUCACCGCAUGGUGGUGUGUGGAAAGGGUUUACUGGUCUUGGAUGGGCUCACGGCCUAUCAGCUUGUUGGUGAGGUAAUGGCUCACCAAGGCGACGACGGGUAGCCGGCCUGAGAGGGUGACCGGCCACACUGGGACUGAGACACGGCCCAGACUCCUACGGGAGGCAGCAGUGGGGAAUAUUGCACAAUGGGCGAAAGCCUGAUGCAGCGACGCCGCGUGAGGGAUGACGGCCUUCGGGUUGUAAACCUCUUUCAGCAGGGAAGAAGCCACAAGUGACGGUACCUGCAGAAGAAGCGCCGGCUAACUACGUGCCAGCAGCCGCGGUAAUACGUAGGGCGCAAGCGUUGUCCGGAAUUAUUGGGCGUAAAGAGCUCGUAGGCGGUUUGUCGCGUCUGCUGUGAAAGCCCGGGGCUUAACCCCGGGUGUGCAGUGGGUACGGGCAGACUAGAGUGCAGUAGGGGAGACUGGAAUUCCUGGUGUAGCGGUGGAAUGCGCAGAUAUCAGGAGGAACACCGAUGGCGAAGGCAGGUCUCUGGGCUGUUACUGACGCUGAGGAGCGA